AACAAUUGAAAUCCAAUUAGUAUAUCAAUCCAAAAGGCUAAGAUUAUCAUCUCGACUUGAGAAAAGUAUCAAGUAGAGCUAGUUCCAAGGACGAAUGGGUCAACAUAUAGCUGUUUGCAUUAUCCAAAAUCCCAAACAACUGGUCAAUACUGAAAGGACCUCAACAAAUCAACAGAGGGGUGACACCAUUUUUGUUGUAGACAGGAUUGGGUGGGACUAUAAUAACAUUAAGGAUGGAAGUGCUGAUGUGACCAGGAAUCCUGGAGGAGGUUGGAAAAACAAGUAUCACAUGAAUUGUGCAUGAGCUUAACGGCAUAACCGUAAUAAGCAUUCCAAUCUUGUGACUAUCAUAUCCUAAAUCAGUCAUAACAUUAGAUUACAAAACUUUGAACAAAGUGUGAUCAAAAUUCUAAGGGAAGGGAGCCUGUGCUGGAUGGGGUAUAAAGUAAGAUGUUUCUCAAGAUUAGCCAGGAUAACAAAUCCACGAGCUUUUUAUUUGGAGCAAAAGAUUAUUUGCACCUAGCGCCCUUCCCCAUACAUAUACCAAAGAUGGGAGUGAGUUGGGACUAAGCAGCCCAAAUUAUCAUUCUCCUAAUCAUACCCCAUUCCCUGACCUACCCCCUACCCCAGACAUCAGAUAAGACCCACAUUUUUUUAAAGAAGUGAGUAAAAAAUAUCCCAUGCUUGAUUUGUGUUCUCUAUUAUGUUUAGGUCCGUCCAGACAAACUCUAGGAACAAGAACUUCCUGUGUAGACCAAGGACAAUAAGUAUGGAAGAACCAAUUACUGCAAAUGACAUUGAGAUAAAAUGAUAGAAAUCAUGCAUUCACUGGGUUCAAAAUUAUUCUAAGCAUCCCAGCUUCUGGUGGUUUGUCAGUAUUGACUAUCCGACUUUAAUGCUGGACUAAAAUGAAAGAGAAGAAAGAAGAAAUUAAUUGAAAGAAAUUAUUCCAAGGAAACAUAGAAAAGUGGACCACCCUAUUUGGAGGAAUGUCAUUGACAGUAAAUACAACAUGACAUAAGAAACAGGAAGUCUUAAAAUAAGCUAGGCACAAAUACAAACACGGAGAUGUAAACCAGAAAACUUAAACAAGCUAAGCGCAAAUACAAACACGAGCAAGUAAACCAGAAAACUUAAAUAAGCUAAGCACAAAAUACAAAAACAAGGUUGUAAACCAGAAAACUUAAAUAAGCUAAGUGCAAAUAUGUAAACUAGAAAACUCAAAUAAGCUAUGUGCAAAUACAAACACGAAGAAGUAAACCAGAAAACUUAGAUAAGCUAGGGGCAAAUACAAACACGAGGAUGUAAACCAGAAAACUUAAAUAAGCUAAGCGCAAAAUACAAACAUGAGGAU